ACCCUGAUCCAGCAAUGCCGCGUGUGUGAAGAAGGCCUUCGGGUUGUAAAGCACUUUUGUCCGGAAAGAAAACGUCUUGGUUAAUACCCGAGGCGGAUGACGGUACCGGAAGAAUAAGCACCGGCUAACUACGUGCCAGCAGCCGCGGUAAUACGUAGGGUGCGAGCGUUAAUCGGAAUUACUGGGCGUAAAGCGUGCGCAGGCGGUCUGUUAAGACCGAUGUGAAAUCCCCGGGCUUAACCUGGGAACUGCAUUGGUGACUGGCAGGCUUUGAGUGUGGCAGAGGGGGGUAGAAUUCCACGUGUAGCAGUGAAAUGCGUAGAGAUGUGGAGGAAUACCGAUGGCGAAGGCAGCCCCCUGGGCCAACACUGACGCUCAUGCACGAAAGCGUGGGGAGCAAACAGGAUUAGAUACCCUGGUAGUCCACGCCCUAAACGAUGUCAACUAGUUGUUGGGGAUUCAUUUCCUUAGUAACGUAGCUAACGCGUGAAGUUGACCGCCUGGGGAGUACGGUCGCAAGAUUAAAACUCAAAGGAAUUGACGGGGACCCGCACAAGCGGUGGAUGAUGUGGAUUAAUUCGAUGCAACGCGAAAAACCUUACCUACCCUUGACAUGGUCGGAAGUCUGCUGAG
rnacentral:rRNA from 3 species